rnacentral:rRNA from 1 species
AACGAACGCUGGCGGCAUGCCUAACACAUGCAAGUCGAACGAAGGCUUCGGCCUUAGUGGCGCACGGGUGAGUAACGCGUGGGAAACUGCCUAUUGGUGGGGAAUAACGACGGGAAACUGUCGCUAAUACCGCAUAAGCCCUUCGGGGGAAAGAUUUAUCGCCGAUAGAUGUGCCCGCGUCCGAUUAGCGAUUUGGUGAGGUAAUGGCUCACCAAGGCGACGAUCGGUAGCUGGUCUGAGAGGAUGAUCAGCCACACUGGGACUGAGACACGGCCCAGACUCCUACGGGAGGCAGCAGUGGGGAAUAUUGGACAAUGGGCGAAAGCCUGAUCCAGCAAUGCCGCGUGAGUGAUGAAGGCCUUAGGGUUGUAAAGCUCUUUCGGGUGGGACGAUGAUGACGGUACCACCAGAAGAAGCCCCGGCUAACUUCGUGCCAGCCGCCGCAGUAA